CUAAGCCUUAAACAGGAUGAAAACCCUUGCUAUGAAAAUCUUUGCCUUGAGUUAGGUUGAGAAAUAUUUUUGGGAUAUUGUUAAAGGUUCAAGUUUGGGUUUGUUGGGAGAAUUGAAAAAGAAAAAGAAAAGUUAGGCAUUGAGCUUAUGAGUUGAAAAGAAAAUGCAUGAGAAAAGAGGAAAAUUUAGAAAAAGCAAAGCAUGAAAAGAAAAGCUCAAUGUGAAGAAAAGGGAAAGUUGGGAAUGAGUGAGAUUGGUAAAAAGAGAGUUUGUGCUUGAACUAUGAAUAUAUAGAUAACUCUCUUAACUCAAGGAUUUUGUGAUCUAGAAAAACCAAUUUUCCUUGUUAGCCCAACCACAUUAUAAGCCUUGAAAAGUCCUUGUGAUGACAUGUGCAUGUGAUGAUGUUUGAUUGUUGUAAAUGAAAGGCAACUUUGUUCUAUAUCACUUGUAGAUAGUAGAGGGAAGGAGUGACCUUUAUACACCUUUAAGUGAAACUCUUGAGUGAAACACUUUAUCUGGUGAGGAAUGAUUCCAUGAAUUCAUGAUUAUAUUUAUGCUUAGCUAAUUGAUCAUUCAUGAGAAUAGCAUCUGUUGGAAGAUUAUAUGAUUAUGUGAAC
rnacentral:lncRNA from 1 species